UCGAGGGAGAGGCGGCACGGCGAAAAGGCGAGCGGACAUUUGGAACUUGCUUCCGGAGGAUUAGCGGCGGACGGGUGAGUAACACGUGGGCAACCUGCCUGUAAGACUGGGAUAACUCCGGGAAACCGGGGCUAAUACCGGAUAAUUCAUUCCCUCUCAUGAGGGAAUGCUGAAAGACGGUUUCUGCUGUCACUUACAGAUGGGCCCGCGGCGCAUUAGCUAGUUGGUGAGGUAACGGCUCACCAAGGCCACGAUGCGUAGCCGACCUGAGAGGGUGAUCGGCCACCCUGGGACUGAAACCCCGCCCAGACUCCUACGGGAGGCAGCAGUAGGGAAUCUUCCGCAAUGGACGAAAGUCUGACGGAACAACCCCGCGUGAGCCAUGAAGGCCUUCGGGUCCUAAAGCUCUGUUGUUAGGGAAGAACAAGUAUCGGAAUAACUGCCGGUACCUUGACCGCACCUAACCAGAAAGCCCCGGCUAACUACGUGCCAGCAGCCGC
rnacentral:rRNA from 1 species